rnacentral:rRNA from 1 species
ACGUACACUCCUACGGGAGGCAGCAGUGGGGAAUUUUACGCAAUGGGGGAAACCCUGACGUAGCGACACCGCGUGAGCGAAGAAGCCCUUUGGGGUGUAAAGCUCUGUCAGCUGGAACGAAAACAAUGACGGUACCAGCAGAGGAAGCAUCGGCUAACUACGUGCCAGCAGCCGCAGUAAGACGUAGGAUGCGAGCGUUGUCCGGAUUUAUUGGGCGUAAAGAGUUCGUAGGUGGUUUGUUAAGUUUGGUGUUAAAGAUCGGGGCUCAACCCUGGGACUGCACUGAAUACUGGCAGACUCGAGUGUGGUAGAGGCUAGUGGAAUUCCCAGUGUAGCGGUGAAAUGCGUAGAUAUUGGGAAGAACACCGGUGGCGUAGGCGACUAGCUGGGCCAUAACUGACGCUGAGGAACGAAAGCCAGGGGAGCGAAUGGGAUUAGAAACCCCUGUAGUCCC